rnacentral:rRNA from 1 species
GCGCAGCAGGCGAGAAUUUUUCACAAUGGGCGCAAGCCUGAUGGAGCGACGCCGCGUGGGGGAUGAAUGGCUUCGGCCCGUAAACCCCUGUCAUUUGCGAUCAAACCUCAUUAUUUAAAAGAUGAUGAGCUGAUAGUAGCGAAAGAGGAAGGGACGGCUAACUCUGUGCCAGCAGCCGCGGUAAUACAGAGGUCCCAAGCGUUGUUCGGAUUCACUGGGCGUAAAGGGUGCGUAGGUGGUGAGGUAAGUCGGAUGUGAAAGCUCGGAGCUCAACUCCGAAAUGGCAUUGGAAACUACCUUGCUCGAGGGUUGGAGGGGGGACUGGAAUACUUGGUGUAGCAGUGAAAUGCGUAGAUAUCAAGUGGAACACCAGUGGCGAAGGCGAGUCCCUGGACAACUCCUGACACUGAGGCACGAAAGCUAGGGAGCAAACAGGAUUAGAUACCCCGGUAGU